rnacentral:rRNA from 1 species
GAUGAACGCUGGCGGCAUGACCAACACACGCAAGCCGAACGGGGAGCGAUGUUUCCAGCGGCGUACGGGCGAGAAACUCGUGAGACUCUGCCCUCUGGAGGGGAACAACACCGGAAAACGGUUGCUAAUACAACGCAGCCCUAGGCCCAAACGGAGACAUCCGCCCUAGGAGGGGCGCGCGUCUGAGAAGCGAGUUGGAGUGUUACGAGCUUACCAAGGCGUUGCGCGGCAGCGGGUCCGAGGGGAUGACCCGCCACGCUGGGACUGAGACCCGGCCCAGACUCCUCCGGGAGGCAGCAGUGGGGAAUUUUCCACAGUGGGCGAAAGCCUGACGGGGCAAUGCCGCGUGGAGGGGGGACGGCUACGGGUCGUCCACUUCGUUUCUCGGAGAAGACACAAUGACGGUAUCUGAGGAAUAAGCCUCGGCUAACUGCUUG